rnacentral:SRP_RNA from 1 species
GGGGCUUGUGCAAUGGAAGUUCGUGAACCCUGUCAGGUCCGAGAGGAAGCAGCAGUAAGCGAAUCCUUUCAUGUGCCACGAGG